rnacentral:rRNA from 1 species
UACGUAGGCAGCGAGCGUUGUUCGGAAUUACUGGGCGUAAAGAGUGUGUAGGCGGUGCUCCCAGUCUGUUGUAAAAUCUCCCGGCUUAACUGGGAGGGUGCAGCGGAAACUAGAGUGCUAGAGGGUGGGAGAGGUAAGCGGAAUUCCUGGUGUAGCGGUGAAAUGCGUAGAUAUCAGGAGGAACACCUGUGGUGUAGACAGCUUACUGGACCACUUCUGACGCUGAGACACGAAAGCGUGGGUAGCAAACAGG